rnacentral:rRNA from 1 species
UUAAGUUAAUAAGGGCGCACGGUGGAUGCCUUGGCACUAGAAGCCGAAGAAGGACGUGACAAACGACGAAAUGCUUUGGGGAGCUGUAAGUAAGCGACGAUCCAGAGAUGUCCGAAUGGGGGAACCCACUAGCUAAUGGCUAGUACUCCUAUCUGUUAAGGAUAGGUAGAGGAAGACGCAGUGAACUGAAACAUCUAAGUAGCUGCAGGAAGAGAAAGCAAAAGCGAUUGCCUGAGUAGCGGCGAGCGAAACGGCAGGAGGGCAAACCGAAGAGUUUACUCUUCGGGGUUGUAGGACUGCAAUGUGGACUUAAAGACUAUAGAAGAAUGACAUGGGAAGGUCAGCCAAAGAGAGUAAGAGCCUCGUAUUCGAAAUAGUCUUUAUACCUAGCAGUAUCCUGAGUACGGCGGGACACGAGAAAUCCCGUCGGAAUCUGGGAGGACCAUCUCCCAACCCUAAAUACUCUCUAGUGACCGAUAGUGAACCAGUACCGUGAGGGAAAGGUGAAAAGCACCCCGGGAGGGGAGUGAAAUAGAACCUGAAACCGUGUGCCUACAACAAGUUCGAGCCCGUUAAUGGGUGAGAGCGUGCCUUUUGUAGAAUGAACCGGCGAGUUACGAUAUGAUGCGAGGUUAAGUUGAAGAGACGGAGCCGUAGGGAAACCGAGUCUGAAUAGGGCGUCUUAGUAUUAUGUCGUAGACCCGAAACCAUGUGACCUACCCAUGAGCAGGUUGAAGGUGAGGUAAAACUCACUGGAGGACCGAACCAGGGCACGUUGAAAAGUGCUUGGAUGACUUGUGGGUAGCGGAGAAAUUCCAAACGAACUUGGAGAUAGCUGGUUCUCUCCGAAAUAGCUUUAGGGCUAGCGUCGACAUUAAGAUUCUUGGAGGUAGAGCACUGUUUGGGUGAGGGGUCCAUCCCGGAUUACCAAUCUCAGAUAAACUCCGAAUGCCAAUGAAUUAUGGUCGGCAGUCAGACUGCGAGUGCUAAGAUCCGUAGUCGAAAGGGAAACAGCCCAGACCACCAGCUAAGGUCCCAAAAUAAUUGUUAAGUGGAAAAGGAUGUGGGGUUGCACAGACAACUAGGAUGUUAGCUUAGAAGCAGCUAUUCAUUCAAAGAGUGCGUAAUAGCUCACUAGUCGAGUGACCCUGCGCCGAAAAUGUACCGGGGCUAAAACAAUUUACCGAAGCUGUGGAUACCUUUAUAGGUAUGGUAGGAGAGCGUUCUAUGUGUGGAGAAGGUGUACCGUGAGGAGCGCUGGAACGCAUAGAAGUGAGAAUGCCGGUAUGAGUAGCGAAAGACAGGUGAGAAUCCUGUCCACCGUAAGACUAAGGUUUCCAGGGGAAGGCUCGUCCGCCCUGGGUUAGUCGGGACCUAAGGAGAGACCGAAAGGUGUAUCCGAUGGACAACAGGUUGAUAUUCCUGUACUAGAGUAUGUAGUGAAGGAGGGACGCAGUAGGCUAACUAAAGCGUGCGACUGGAAGUGCACGUCUAAGCAGUGAGGUGUGAAUUGAGUUAAAUGCUUAAUUCUAUAACAUUGAGCUGUGAUGGGGAGCGAAGUUUAGUAGCGAAGUUAGUGACGUCACACUGCCAAGAAAAGCUUCUAGCGUUAAUCAUACUCUACCCGUACCGCAAACCGACACAGGUAGUCGAGGCGAGUAGCCUCAGGUGAGCGAGAGAACUCUCGUUAAGGAACUCGGCAAAAUGACCCCGUAACUUCGGGAGAAGGGGUGCUGGCUUUCAGUCAGCCGCAGUGAAUAGGCCCAAGCAACUGUUUAUCAAAAACACAGCUCUCUGCUAAAUCGUAAGAUGAUGUAUAGGGGGUGACGCCUGCCCGGUGCUGGAAGGUUAAGAGGAGUGCUUAGCGGUAACGCGAAGGUAUGAAUUGAAGCCCCAGUAAACGGCGGCCGUAACUAUAACGGUCCUAAGGUAGCGAAAUUCCUUGUCGGGUAAGUUCCGACCCGCACGAAAGGCGUAAUGAUUUGGGCACUGUCUCAACGAGAGACUCGGUGAAAUUUUAGUACCUGUGAAGAUGCAGGUUACCCGCGACAGGACGGAAAGACCCCAUGGAGCUUUACUGCAGUUUGAUAUUGAGUGUCUGUGCCACAUGUACAGGAUAGGUAGGAGCCAU